rnacentral:rRNA from 1 species
GAUGAACGCUAGCGGCGGGCCUAAUACAUGCAAGUCGAACGGGAAAGGUGGCAACACCUUGCGAGUGGCGUACGGGUGCGUAAGGCGUAAACAACCGGCCUGUUACACGGGGAUAGCCUUGCGAACGCGAGAAUCAUACCCGAAGGUACUAUUGGGCGGCAUCGCGUGGUAGUUAAAGCUGAGGCGGAAUCCGAGGGGUAUGCGUCCCAUGGCUAGUUGGUAGUGUGACGUACUACCAAGGCGACGAUGGGUAGGGGUUCUGAGAGGAUGAGCCCCCACACUUGUACUGCGAUACGGGCCCUACGCCUCCGGGCGGCAUCCGUAGGGAGGAUUGGGCGAUGGACGGUAGUCUGUCCCAGCCACGCCGCUGGCAGGAAGCAGGUCCUCUGGAUUGUACACUGCUUUUCUUGGCGAAUAUAACCCUUCUGCGGAAGGAAUUGACGGUACUCAAGGAAUAAGCACCGGCUAACUCCGUG